UCUCCNUAGGUGAACCUGCGGAGGGAUCAUUACUGAGUGAGGGCUCACGCCCGACCUCCAACCCUUUGUGAACCAAACUUGUUGCUUCGGGGGCGACCCUGCCGUCCGCGGCUGAGCGCCCCCGGGGUCAAUCAAACACUGCAUUCUCUGCGUCGGAGUUAAAGUAAAUUAAACAAAACUUUCAACAACGGAUCUCUUGGUUCCAGAAUCGAUGAAGAACGNAGC
rnacentral:misc_RNA from 1 species